rnacentral:rRNA from 1 species
GACGACCUCUGGCGGCGUGCCUAACACAUGCAAGUCGAACGGAGAAUUUUAUUUCGGUAGAAUUCUUAGUGGCGAACGGGUGAGUAACGCGUAGGCAACCUGCCCUUUAGACGGGGACAACAUUCCGAAAGGAGUGCUAAUACCGGAUGUGAUCAUCGUGCCGCAUGGCAGGAUGAAGAAAGAUGGCCUCUACAAGUAAGCUAUCGCUAAAGGAUGGGCCUGCGUCUGAUUAGCUAGUUGGUAGUGUAACGGACUACCAAGGCGAUGAUCAGUAGCCGGUCUGAGAGGAUGAACGGCCACAUUGGGACUGAGACACGGCCCAAACUCCUACGGGAGGCAGCAGUGGGGAAUCUUCCGCAAUGGACGAAAGUCUGACGGAGCAACGCCGCGUGAGUGAUGAAGGAUUUCGGUCUGUAAAGCUCUGUUGUUUAUGACGAACGUGCAGUGUGUGAACAAUGCAUUGCAAUGACGGUAGUAAACGAGGAAGCCACGGCUAACUACGUGCCAGCAGCCGCGGUAAUACGUAGGUGGCGAGCGUUGUCCGGAAUUAUUGGGCGUAAAGAGCAUGUAGGCGGCUUAAUAAGUCGAGCGUGAAAAUGCGUGGCUCAACCCCGUAUGGCGCUGGAAACUGUUAGGCUUGAGUGCAGGAGAGGAAAGGGGAAUUCCCAGUGUAGCGGUGAAAUGCGUAGAUAUUGGGAGGAACACCAGUGGCGAAGGCGCCUUUCUGGACUGUGUCUGACGCUGAGAUGCGAAAGCCAGGGUAGCGAACGAGAUUAGAUACCCCGGUAGUCCUGGCCGUA